rnacentral:misc_RNA from 1 species
GAAGAAGAAGAAGAAGGCCCAGUUGAAGUUAUUCUCAUUUUAUCCUCCAUUUCUUGGGCAGCCAACAUCAGAAUGGCUCUCGCCUGCACCUCUGUCGCAUCCCAAACAGAAACGCUUCCAUUGUAGAAUAUCGUUAGCUUUUGCUGCUGUUGUCGUCGUUCUUGAUGGAGGUGGUAUUGAUCGGAGGUGGGAAAGAGGCUGAGUUCAAGAUUGCAGUUCCUCGACAUCUCGAUUUGAUCUGAGAAAUUGAAAAUUAAAAGGAGAAAUAGAUCGAA